AAUAUAUUUUCUAUAUUUCCUAUAUUUUUUUCUAUAUUUUAAUAUAUUUUUAGGUUUUUAUUUAUUUAUUUCAUAUUUCAUUCAUUUCUUUCCUUAUUCAAUAGAAUUAACAUAAUCAUUAUAAUUUGGUGAAAGGUGGGGAGCUUUUUCCAGCUUUCCCUGCCGUGGGAUAUUUGAUCUGUGAGAUCUGACCCCUGUCAGAGCCGUGUUUACGCUCUCCCUCUCCAAUUCCCAUCCCUUUCCAAGGAAUCCAUCCCCUCAGACACAUUCCAGCGAAGCCAAAGGGCCCUGGAGCCCCACGCCAAAGAACUCGUCAGGGAUAUGAUCCCAAGCACGUUCCACAUCCCAAAUUUCCUCCCGGAAUUCCUCCAGACCUGUCAGUCAGUGCUGCCCUUUCCCCCCCUGCCCUCCAUCCCGUGGAAAUCUGGAAUUCCCUCGAGGGUCAGCCUUGCUCCAGGAAUUCUGGGUGGAUCUGGGAGGGGGAAAAUCAGGAUUUUCACUUGUACAAAGCCAAUUUUCCCACUAUCAAAACCAAGAAAAGCAGGGGAGGAAUCACCAGCAUCUCUGAGCAGGGACAACCUCCUGUCACCGAAGUUUUAUUUCAGGCAUUCCUCCCUAUCCAAGCUGCUUUCCCAUGGAUCAGAGGUUGUCGGGGUUGGCUGCCAGGAGAAGCCACGCUGCUCGCGGGGCCAGCCCGGCCUUUGUCCUUGCCGUCGGAAAAGCAGAAUUCGGUCAAGAUCGUUGGGGAGAAGGAAGGUUCCAGCAGCCCUGCGGCUCCUCUGGGGUGUUUAUUCCAUAUUUCUCACCUUAUAUGGAUCCUUCCAGCAUGUUCCAGGCUGGGAAAGGGAAAGGGGGGGGAGAGAGGGGCACAGGGAGGGAUCCACAGUGCGGGGACGGAGUGUACAGCUGGGGUGGAAAAGGCAUUUCCUCCGGUUGUUUGUGCACUGGGAGUGUUGGGAACAGAGCCCAGAUGGGAGGGAAAAAAAAAAAGAUUUUGGGACUGGAGUGGCUCCUGGAAAGCAGCUGCUUGUGCCACAACGUGGGAAAUGAAUUUAGAGGCUAAGAGGAAACACAGAGCCUAGUAGAAAGCUCACAUACAAAAACCUAAAAAUGAGAAAUACUGACUUAGAAAUAGCAUGAAAUAAAGCUAAGAAUUAAAGUUAUUUUGUUGUCAAGGAAAAAAAAAUUAAACUAAAAGCAAGUUUCAAAAAAUAAAAGUAAAUACUUUAAAAAACAGAAGUAUAAAAAUACAUUAUAAUAUUUAAAAAUAGAAUUAUAAAAAUACAUGAUAAUAAACCCCACAAAGAGUAAUUUCAAAUGAUUAGCUUUAAAGCAUUUACAACCUAGUGUAACUGCAACUAAUAAACCAAAAAGCGCUUAUAAUAUAUUAUAAUUAAAAAAUAGUUAACUUCUAA